rnacentral:rRNA from 1 species
CCUACGGGCGGCUGCAGUGGGGAAUAUUGCACAAUGGGCGCAAGCCUGAUGCAGCCAUGCCGCGUGUGUGAAGAAGGCCUUCGGGUUGUAAAGCACUUUCAGCGGGGAGGAAGGCGUUAAGGUUAAUAACCUUGGCGAUUGACGUUACCCGCAGAAGAAGCACCGGCUAACUCCGUGCCAGCAGCCGCGGUAAUACGGAGGGUGCAAGCGUUAAUCGGAAUUACUGGGCGUAAAGCGCACGCAGGCGGUCUGUCAAGUCGGAUGUGAAAUCCCCGGGCUCAACCUGGGAACUGCAUUCGAAACUGGCAGGCUAGAGUCUUGUAGAGGGGGGUAGAAUUCCAGGUGUAGCGGUGAAAUGCGUAGAGAUCUGGAGGAAUACCGGUGCCGAAGGCGGCCCCCUGGACAAAGACUGACGCUCAGGUGCGAAAGCGUGGGGAGCAAACAGGAUUAGAUACCCGGGUAGUC